rnacentral:rRNA from 1 species
CAGCAGCCGCGGUAAUACAUAGGUGGCGAACGUUGUUCGGAUUUACUGGGCGUAAAGGGUCCGCAGGCGGCUCGGUAUGUCAGAUGUGAAAGCCCACAGCUCAACUGUGAAAUGGCAUUUGAAACUGCCAGGCUAGAGUACUGGAGGGGAGAAUGGAACACUCGGUGUAGCGGUGAAAUGCGUAGAUAUCCAGUGGAACACCGGAGGCGAAGGCGCUUCUCUGGACAGAUACUGACGCUCAUGGACGAAAGCUAGGGUAGCGAAAGGGAUUAGAUACCCCUGUAGUCCUAGCCGUAAACGGUGUGCACUAGACGUGGGUGGAUAUACCCCCAUCCGUGUCUGAGCUAACGCAUUAAGUGCACCGCCUGGGGAGUACGGUCGCAAGAUUAAAACUCAAAGGAAUUGACGGGGACCCGCACAAGCGGUGGAGCAUGCGGCUUAAUUCGAUGCAACCGGAAGAACCUUACCUGGACUUGACAUAUAGCUGCAUACGACCUGAAAGGGACGUAGCCUUCGAGGGUGGUAUACAGGUGCUGCAUGGCUGUCGUCAGGUUGUGCCGUGAGGUGUUGGGUUAAGUCCCGCAACGAGCGCAACCCCUGUGUUUAGUUGCCAGCACGUAAUGGUGGGAACUCUAAACAGACUGCUUGUGAAAACAAGAGGAAGGUGGGGAUGACGUCAAGUCAGUAUGGUCCUUAUGUCCAGGGCUGCACACGUGCUACAAUGGGCGAUACAAUAGGAAGCCAAACCGCGAGGUGGAGCAAAUCCUCAAAAUCGCCCCCAGUUCGGAUUGAAGUCUGAAACUCGACUUCAUGAAGUUGGAAUCGCUAGUAAAGGCGUAUCAGCUACGACGCCUUGAAUACGUUCCCGGGUCUUGUACACACCGCCCGUCACAUCAUGGAAGUUUGUUGCACCCGAAGUCGCUGAUCUAACCUGUCAAAGGAAGAAGGCGCCUAAGGUGUGAUAGAUAACUGGGAUGAAGUCGUAACAAGGUAACCGUA